rnacentral:tRNA from 1 species
GGGCGCGUAGCUCAGCGGUAAGAGCGCAUGACUCACAUUCAUGAGGUCGUAGGUUCGAUUCCUACCGCGCCCA